UACGUAGGUGGCAAGCGUUGUCCGGAAUUAUUGGGCGUAAAGCGCGCGCAGGCGGCCUUUUAAGUCUGAUGUGAAAGCCCCCGGCUCAACCGGGGAGGGUCAUUGGAAACUGGAAGGCUUGAGUGCAGAAGAGAAGAGCGGAAUUCCACGUGUAGCGGUGAAAUGCGUAGAGAUGUGGAGGAACACCAGUGGCGAAGGCGGCUCUUUGGUCUGCAACUGACGCUGAGGCGCGAAAGCGUGGGGAGCAAACAGG
rnacentral:rRNA from 1 species